CCUACGGGGGGCAGCAGUGAGGAAUUUUCUGCAAUGGGCGCAAGCCUGACAGAGCAAUACCGCGUGAGGGAUGAAGGCCUAUGGGUUGUAAACUUCUUUUCUCAAGGAGGAAGAUCUGACGUUACUUGAGGAAUAAGCAUCGGCUAACCCUGUGCCAGCAGCCGCGGUAAUACAGGGGAUGCAAGUGUUAUCCGGAAUUAUUGGGCGUAAAGCGUCUGUAGGUUGAUAAUUAAGUCUUUUGUUAAACCUUCGGGCUCAACCCGAAAUCUGCAAAAGAAACUAUUUAUCUUGAGUAUGGUAGAGGUAAAGGGAAUUUCCAGUGGAGCGGUGAAAUGCGUAGAUAUUGGAAAGAACACCAACAGCGAAGGCACUUUACUGGGCCAUUACUGACACUGAGAGACGAAAGCUAAGGGAGCAAACGGGAUUAGAUACCCCAGUAGUC
rnacentral:rRNA from 1 species